rnacentral:rRNA from 2 species
AGAGUUUGAUCCUGGCUCAGGACGAACGCUGGCGGCGUGCCUAACACAUGCAAGUCGAACGGUUCUUGAGGCAAGAGUCAAGAGGCCAGAAGCAGGAUUAGAAAGAAUUGGCUUUGCCAAUUCUAACAAAAAAUCUUGCAUCUUGUUUCUUGUCUCUUGCUUCUAGAAUAGUGGCGGACGGGUGAGUAACGCGUGGAUAACCUGCCUAUCAGACCGGGACAACUCUGGGAAACUGGAGCUAAUACCGGAUACGAAUAUAGGAGCGCAUGCUCUUAUAUUGAAAGAUUUAUCGCUGAUAGAUGGAUCCGCGUCCCAUUAGCUAGUUGGAGGUGUAAUAGACCCCCAAGGCGACGAUGGGUAGCCGGCCUGAGAGGGCGAUCGGCCACACUGGAACUGAGACACGGUCCAGACUCCUACGGGAGGCAGCAGUGGGGAAUAUUCCGCAAUGGGCGCAAGCCUGACGGAGCAACGCCGCGUGAGGGAAGAAGGUCUUCGGAUUGUAAACCUUUGUUCUAUGGGAAGAAAAAAAUGACGGUACCAUAGGAGAAAGCCCCGGCUAACUACGUGCCAGCCGCCGCGGUAAUAC